rnacentral:rRNA from 1 species
AGCAGCCGCGGUAAUUCCAGCUCCAAUAGCGUAUAUUAAAGUUGUUGCAGUUAAAAAGCUCGUAGUUGAAUUUCGGGAUUAAUUUACUGGUCGUGCUUUUGUACGUACUGGUUUUAUUGAUUCCUCCCUUCUGACGAACUAUGAUGUCAUUAAUUUGGUGUUAUAGGAAAUCAGGACUGUUACUUUGAAAAAAUUAGAGUGUUUAAAGCAGGCUCACGCUUGAAUACAUUAGCAUGGAAUAACGGAAUAGGACGUUUGAUUCUAUUUUGUUGGUUUCUAGGAUCGACGUAAUGAUUAAUAGGGAUAGUUGGGGGCAUUAGUAUUCAAUUGUCAGAGGUGAAAUUCUUGGAUUUAUUGAAGACUAACUACUGCGAAAGCAUUUGCCAAGGAUGUUUUCAUUAAUCAAGAACGAAAGUUAGGGGAUCGAAGACGAUCAGAUACCGUCGUAGU